AUUGAACGCUGGCGGCAGGCCUAACACAUGCAAGUCGGGCGCGCGGCGGACGGGUGAGUAAUGUAUGGGGAUUGCCUGAUGGAGGGGGCUAACUACGGGACCCGGUAGCUAAUACCGCAUAACAUGCGCUAACCCAUCUGGGAUUAGCUAGUAGGUGAGGUAACGGCUCACCUAGGCGACGAUCCCUAGCUGGUCUGCGAGGAUGAUCAGCCACACUGGGAAUGAGACACGGCCCAGACUCCUACGGAGGCAGCAGUGGGGAAUAUUGCACAAUGGGCGCAAGCCUGAUGCAGCCAUGCCGCGUGUAUGAAGAAGGCCUUCGGGUUGUAAAGUACUUUCAGUCGGGAGGCGUUACCGACAGAAGAAGCACCGGCUAACUCCGUGCCAGCAGCCGCGGUAAUUC
rnacentral:rRNA from 1 species